CCUGGCUCAGGAUGAACGCUAGCUACAGGCUUAACACAUGCAAGUCGAGGCGGCAGCGAUGUGUCUUAGCGUUGCUAAGGCCGAUGGCGACCGGCGCACGGGUGAGUAACACGUAUCCAACCUGCCGUCUACUCUUGGACAGCCUUCUGAAAGGAAGAUUAAUACAAGAUGGCAUCAUGAGUCCGCAUGUUCACAUGAUUAAAGGUAUUCCGGUAGACGAUGGGGAUGCGUUCCAUUAGAUAGUAGGCGGGGUAACGGCCCACCUAGUCUUCGAUGGAUAGGGGUUCUGAGAGGAAGGUCCCCCACAUUGGAACUGACACACGGUCCAAACUCCUACGGGAGGCAGCAGUGAGGAAUAUUGAUCAAUGGGCGAGAGCCUGAACCGGCCAAGUAGCGUGAAGGAUGACUGCCCUAUGGGUUGUAAACUUCUUUUAUAAAGGAAUACCGUCGGGUAUGGAUACCCGUUUGCAUGUACUUUAUGAAUAAGGAUCGGCUAACUCCGUGCCAGCAGCCGCGGUAAUACCGAGGAUCCGAGCGUUAUCCGGAUUUAUUGGGUUUAAAGGGAGCGUAGAUGGAUGUCUAAGUCAGUUGUGAAAGUUUGCGGAUCAACCGUAAAAUUGCAGUUGAUACUGGAUAUCUUGAGUGCAGUGAGGGCAGGCGGAAUUCGUGGUGUAGCGGUGAAAUGCUUAGAUAUCACGAAGAACUCCGAUUGCGAAGGCAGCCUGCUAAGCUGCAACUGACAUUGAGGCUCGAAAGUGUGGGUAUCAAACAGGAUUAGAUACCCUGGUAGUCCACACGGUAAACGAUGAAUACUCGCUGUUUGCGAUAUACUGCAAGCGGCCAAGCGAAAGCGUUAAGUAUUCCACCUGGGGAGUACGCCGGCAACGGUGAAACUCAAAGGAAUUGACGGGGGCCCGCACAAGCGGAGGAACAUGUGGUUUAAUUCGAUGAUACGCGAGGAACCUUACCCGGGCUUAAAUUGCAGAUGAAUUACGGUGAAAGCCGUAAGCCGCAAGGCAUCUGUGAAGGUGCUGCAUGGUUGUCGUCAGCUCGUGCCGUGAGGUGUCGGCUUAAGUGCCAUAACGAGCGCAACCCUUGUUGUCAGUUACUAACAGGUUCCGCUGAGGACUCUGACAAGACUGCCAUCGUAAGAUGUGAGGAAGGUGGGGAUGACGUCAAAUCAGCACGGCCCUUACGUCCGGGGCUACACACGUGUUACAAUGGGGGGUACAGAGGGCCGCUACCACGCGAGUGGAUGCCAAUCCCCAAAACCUCUCUCAGUUCGGACUGGAGUCUGCAACCCGACUCCACGAAGCUGGAUUCGCUAGUAAUCGCGCAUCAGCCACGGCGCGGUGAAUACGUUCCCGGGCCUUGUACACAC
rnacentral:rRNA from 1 species